AGACCACUGAGAGAGUCUGACCCUGAGAUGAACUAACUCACUCAGACACACACACUGACACACACACACAGACAGCUGACGGGGCGCCUGGGUUACCGCUACGUAUUGUGUUAAUUUCUCCUUUCCUGCUCGUAAUAGCCUUCCUGGGAGAGGGCUAGAAGGAUGUGUGGGUGAUGGCUGAUGCCGAACCAGAAGGCCAGCCGCAGGAAGAGCAGCAAUUACAAGUGCAGAGGCAGCAGCAGCAACCCCUGCGUUCCAUCAUAUCACGGCAACAGAGCUACGUACGCUUCAUCAACAAAACACAGCGCAGUGUUAACGUGUUUUGGGUGAACUACGUGGGAAAGUUUCAGUUGUAUAAGACCCUUCCUCCCGGCAGCCAGUACGACAUCAACACCUACGUCACUCAUCCGUGGGUGUUCCGUGACGCUGAGACUGGUGCUGUGCUGCUGGUGAACUCUCUGGAGGUGUUCUAUCCCAAGCCAGUGUUCCCCGAGGGUCACGUUUUGUAUGGUCCAGUCAGCCCCUACAGAAUCCCGGUCUACAUCACUAUCCCCCUCUACACUCUGCUGGAAAGGGCUGCCCAGGUGGUGGGGUCGUGCCUGAAGAACCCCAAGCUGGCCCAAACGCUGGAUAUCCCCAAGAAUCUCGUGAGCGUCAUAGCGAAUUGGGUGGUGUGAGCAGUGCCGACACCCACACACCACUCACCACUCACCACUCCAGCGCCCUUGCCUCGUCAGUCACCGCAAGAUAAACACAGUGAGCCAGCCAUGAGGAUCGGAGACAAACUGGAGAAUCUCAACCCUCAGGUGUUUGCCGAGGCGGACCAGCGCAAGGAGAACCCCUCAGACUGGGACGACACAGUGAGGGACCCUGUUGAUAGCAGGGAGGUGUUCGACUUG
rnacentral:misc_RNA from 1 species